AGGGAAUUCAGAAGAAUUUAACUUGUCGUCUGUCAACGUCGUCGUCGGGUGUAUGUAAACGCGGUCUGCGCCUGUCGCCUUUUUCUGCACAAGAAAUUCUCCAGUAACAUUACGCUCGGUAGUUUUAUUAAUAAAUAAAUGUAUUUAAUUUUCUGCUGUGUGUUAUACAAAUUAUGUGUGAAAAGCAAAGUUCAUAAAUAGUAGCAAAAAAGCUGUGAAAUUGACGAGCUGGCGCAUAAAUUGAAAGGAAUAGAAAACGAGAAAAAACCUGCGUGCAGAAGAGAAGUGAAAAGAUAUUCCUUUGUGUCGCUGCUUGGAAUUCGUCGGGUACUUGCCAGCGUGUUUUUGUGUGUGCGCGUUUAUGUUAGCAAGCAGGAAUUGGGGGAACUGAAAAUAAAACCUAACAAAAAUCAAGUGAACUUUCUGCUUAUAUGGCCAUCAAUUCCCCUAAAAUAGAACAAAUGUGAAACUGAAGCAAAAAGAUCGUAAAAUAAUUGUAAAAUAUCAAACAAACUUGUUGGCGUGUUCAGAGCGUUUAAAAAAGAAAACAAGUGUUUGCCAAAUUAGUAAAAUGUAAAAUGUAGAAAUAAGUACAAGUAAAAAGUGCGGGUUUCUCUUGGUGGGCAACAAGUGCGUGAAUUCGUUGAAAAAUAAAAAAAGAUCAGUGAAGCGCGAACAAGCACAAGCAGCUAAAAAAAGCUGAAUUUACUUACAAAAAUACGUAAA